UACGGGGGGGGUAAGCGUUGUUCGGAAUUACUGGGCGUAAAGGGCUCGUAGGCGGCCAACUAAGUCGGACGUGAAAUCCCUCAGCUUAACUGGGGAACUGCGUCCGAUACUGGAUGGCUUGGAUUUGGGAGAGGGAUGCGGAAUUCCAGGUGUAGCGGUGAAAUGCGUAGAUAUCAGGAGGAACACCAAUUGCGAAGGCAGCUCGCUGGGACGUUACUGACGCUGAGACGCGAAAGCGUGGGGAGCAAACAGG
rnacentral:rRNA from 1 species